rnacentral:rRNA from 1 species
UACAGAGGUCACAAGCGUUAUCCGGAUUUAUUGGGCGUAAAGCGUUUCGUAGGUGGGUUAGUAAGUUAUCCUUUAAAGACCACGGCUCAACCGGGGGAAGGGGGGUAAUACUACUAGUCUUGAUUUUUGGUGGGGUAUCUGGAACUGAUGGUGUAGUAGUGAAAUACGUUGAUAUCAUCAGGAACUCCAAGGGCGAAGGCAGGAUACUAACCAAUUAAUGACACUGAGGAACGACAGCUAGGGGAGCGAAAGGG